rnacentral:tRNA from 1 species
AUUUAUAUAGUUUAAAUAAAACAUUACUUUUUCAUUGUAAAAAUAAAAAAUUUUUUUAUAAAUA